rnacentral:rRNA from 1 species
CCUACGGGAGGCAGCAGUGGGGGAUAUUGCACAAUGGGGGGAACCCUGAUGCAGCGACGCCGCGUGUGGGAAGACGGUCCUCUGGAUUGUAAACCACUGUCUCCAGGGACAAAAAUGACGGUACCUGGGGAGGAAGCUCCGGCUAACUACGUGCCAGCAGCCGCGGUAAUACGUAGGGCGCGAGCGUUGUCCGGAAUUACUGGGGGAAAAGGGUGCGUAGGCGGGGAUGGAAGUUGGGGGUCAAAACUACCGGCUUAACUGGUAGUAGCACUCAAAACUGGAGAUCUUGAGUGAAGUAGAGGCAGGCGGAAUUCCUAGUGUAGCGGUGAAAUGCGUAGAUAUUAGGAGGAACACCAGUGGCGAAGGCGGCCUGCUGGGCUGUUACUGACGCUGAGGCUCGAAAGUGUGGGGAGCAAACAGGAUUAGAUACCCGGGUAGUC